rnacentral:tRNA from 1 species
CAGGGUGUAGUUCAUCGGUAGAACGUUCCCUUGGGGUGGGAAAGGUAGCUGGUUCAAUUCCAGUCACCCUGA